rnacentral:rRNA from 1 species
UACGGAGGGGGCCAGCGUUGCUCGGAAUUACUGGGCGUAAAGGGCUUGUAGGCGGUCUGAUAAGUCCUGUGUGAAAUCCCUUGGCUUAACCAAGGAACUGCGCCGGAUACUGUCGGACUAGAGGCCGGGAGAGGGAAGCGGAAUUCCCAGUGUAGCGGUGAAAUGCGUAGAUAUUGGGAGGAACACCGGUGGCGAAGGCGGCUUCCUGGACCGGUUCUGACGCUGCAGAGCGAAAGCUAGGGUAGCAAACAGGAUUAGAUACCCUGGUAGUCCUAGCUGUAAACGAUGGGCGCUUGGUGUUGCGGGUAUCGACCCCUGCAGUGCCGAAGCUAACGCAUUAAGCGCCCCGCCUGGGGAGUACGGUCGCAAGGCUGAA